AAAAUAUUCUAAAAUCAUUUUAUUUUCUUAAAUCCGAGGAUUUUAAAUGCUCGUAUGAAAAGCAGAGGUGUCAGAAGAGUUGUUUUAAGCCAGGUAUGCUGAAUGUGUAAUCCAAUAAUAGAUGCCAUUUUUGUUUGUUUUUUUACAAUUCUUUAUUUUUGUUGUGCAUGAAGGUAUAACAUAAUGACCUGCAAUGCCCCAACAGCACACACAGGUACAAGGUAAAACCCAUCAUAACAGUUGGUCAGCAUUAUAGAACACUGCACAAUUUAAAGGUUAUCAUAUUCAAGUUAAGCAUACAUGUCUAACCGAUAUACUGUAGAGGAACAUGGAAAAAAAGACGUGUGUUAGACAGGAUACGUUGUGUUGUCACUUACAAGGGUACACGUAACACGAGAACUAUAAAAUGUAAUUUAAAUGUGGUCUAUAUUCUAAAUUUCAUAUAGUCCUCAUCCAAAGCCCCGAUCCUGUGAUAGAGACUGUCCCUUUAAAUCUUUUUAUCUGAAAGGGGAACUACCACUGAGUUUUAUGCCUAUUUAAACAAAUAUGUGUUUAUGAGAUCUGAAAAACAAAAUGGAAUGUAGCAAUUCAUUUCCCUUUAUACUUCAUCUCAGCUACCUAUCAAUCAUUGUUAUAAGCUCCGCCCUUUACACCUGGCAGUCAGUGUAGAGAGAGCCACCGCCAUCUUAGCUCCCUGUCAAUCAUUGUUAUAAGCUCCACCCUUUACACCUGGCAGUCAGUAUAGAGAGAGCCGCCUCCAUCUUAGCUCCCUGUCAGUCAUUGUUAUAAGCUCC